rnacentral:lncRNA from 1 species
CAGCUGUCCUAAUGUCCAUCUGUCACUUAGCCAGCCUCCUGCAUGGCUUCCUCUGGGCACAGUGACCCAUGCCUGUAAUCCCAGCACUUUGGGGGUUCGAAAAAGGUGUAUCACCUGAGUUCAGAAGUUCGAAACCAGACUGGUCAACAUGACAAAAUGCCAUCUCUCUUAAAAAAUACAAAGAUUACUUGAGCAUCGUGGCAGGCACCUAUAAUCUCAGCUACUCCAGAAUCUCAGUCAGGAGAAUCACUUGAACCCAGGAGGCAGAGGUUACAGUGAGCUAAGAUCACGCCACUGCACUCCUGGCUGGUAACAAAGCAAGACUCUAUCUCAAAAAAUAACAAAAUACCUUCCGAGGCAGCUGCCUUCUGAUGAUGACCCUCUCCCAGUUAAGCACAGACCCCGAACUCCUGCCUGACCCUAAAGUGCCAGGUGAUGCUGCCCAUGCACUCCUCUGGCCACACUGAGUGUCCUCUGAGUCAUGCUGCUCCCUCUGCCUAGGUAUUUGCUGUCCCCUGUCUCAGAGCCUUCACUCCCUCUUCCAGGCUCCAUCCCCUCAUCCUCUGCCUGCCCAGCACCCACCUCCUGGUCAUUUAACAUGUAGCUCAGGUUGUAAUCCCAGUACUUUUGGAGGCCAGGGGCAGAGGGUCACUGGAGCCCAAGAGCUUGAGGCCAGCCUGGGCAACAGAGUGAGACCCCACAACUCCACCAAAAAUGUAAAAGGAAGAAAGAAAGAUGUAGCUCAGGUAUUACCCACCUCCAGGUAGCCUUCCUGAUGGCAUUAUACCCAGGUGGGCUCAGGGGCAGCCUCUGUUCUCUGGGCAUCAGAAGCCCCUCCCUGGGGCAGCGGUCCUGGGUCAGCUUCUGCAGGAGUCCAGGAACAGGAUGAUGGUGGAUGGAUCAGGACUGAGGGUCAGAGAUGCAGAGAGGCAGACAGCUUUGGGAUGCAGUUGGUGGGAUCAGUGGGACUUGCUGCAGGGUGACUGUCAGGGUGCAGGGGAGAAUUCCGGACCAGCCAUGUCUUCAUCUCUCUCUUCCUUCCAAUCCCAGGAGAGAAAACGAGGCAGAAGGACUUGUGGGCCCGACUCACCAGCUCCAUCCUCAGGAACUCGAGGACCAUCAAGUUCCAUGGCUGCGAGUGAGCCUUUCUGGACAGAGUUCUGUGCAUCCGAGCACUGAUGUAAAGGAUGGAGGAAGAUGGACGAUGGGUGGCUGCCCUGAAUGCCGAGCUGUUCAUGCCAGGGCUGGCAGGACUGUGUGCCCUUGGCCUGCUGCAGCAGUGGGGCCGGCUGUGGACCAACUCCCUGAGGAUCCAGUACAGCCUCCUGGUUGCAGGGCCCCUGGACUGAAGGACUCCUAUCUGGAAUUGGUGCUGUGGCCCCUGAAGAAGGUGUGGCGGGAGCGGGAAGAGGAGGCCAUGUGGUGGCUACAGGCCUGGGUGCCCGGAUCCCAGGCAACCAGGAUCCCAGGCCCAUCAGGGUGA